ensembl:lncRNA
GCUGCAGUAUCACACCCAUAUAUAUGUACAUAUACAUAUACAUACAUCACUAGCUAAACAUACACAUGGUAGACUAUUCAUUAACUCUUAAUGUCUUUUGUGUCUUUUGAUAAAUGCUGAAUGAUGCAUUCUGUGCUGCGUCUUUAAGUGCAGAAUAGCUUCAGACUUAUAACCAGUGUAUCCAGGACCUCAGUGUGCAAAAUGAUGGUCUGAUAUUGCACUAUACUGUAGCACCACCUUGUGGUUGAAAUAAGUGUGUUUCAAGAAACUCAAAAUUUAAUUCCUAAUGCUGGGCUUACACUGUGCGAUUUUUUCUCGUUGACUCGCAGGGGUUAGAAUUUCAUAGGUCACGAUGCAGGUCUCACACUAUACGGCCCGAUGCUCUGAUGCGACCUGAGUGCUCACACUGUGCGUCCAUAAAAUGAAGGUUAUAACAGAAAUUCUGUCGCUCUCUCCCUCUCCGUCUUUCACUCACACAGACACACCACCACCAUCAACUUUGCUAAAUUGCUAAUGAAAAACAUUGAUCAGGCAGCUGUGAUUGAGCAGCAGUGUAGAUCCAACUAUUUUCAAGGUUGUUGUGUCGUGAUAAUUUUGUGAGGCCACAUCGAAAAGGCUCGGAUGAGCUUUCCAAAGUUCUACAAGUUGUGCCUCCAUCGCUUGUGUCCAGAUCACACGCUGCACUGCCGUGCUGCGCCGUCUUUUUCGCUGACAUUUGUGUUUGCGCGUGCGCAGUGUGACAAACUGCGGUGACACCCUCACGACGGUCGCGAGGAUUUCAAACAGGUUUGAAAUCCUCCCGACCAAGGUUUGAAAUCCUCCCGACCAAGCGAUUGAUGAUCGGGAGCUCGUCGUGAGGUGUUAAUCGCGUCUCGUUACCCCACGUAUACUACACGAUGCACGACGCACGAUGAAGGCCAAAAUCGGGCCGAUCGCCAAAACGGUCGCACGACUCAAAAAUCGGCUCAAAAUGGGCCAAAAAUCGCACAGCAUUAGUAUGAACUUAAACACUGCAGGUUGUUAUGAUUGCAUAUUCACCUAUGGAAUACCUCUGCAUUUUCUCUCUGAAACAUUUGCAAACUUACGUGAAAGUAAGUCCAGAAUUCUUGAAGGACGUUCCAAAGAUCUUCUUUAAAUGGUGGCUGCUUUUUGUCCUGCUUUGUGUCAAGAUGAUCCCACAUGACAUCAAUAACCCUGAGAGCUAAUUGUUUUACUAAUAACUCUAUGGAUAUCACCUUGUUCUUCCAAAAAUACUACUUUAUGCUUGUCAAAGGUCACAUCAUUCACUGCAGCUAAAGGAAAAAAAGUAACAACUCAUUCGCUUGAGUGGGAUUCGGGGUCAAAUUUAGGAACAGGGGGAAUACACCUAAAGUCUGCUUUCUGCUUCAGUU